rnacentral:sRNA from 1 species
CUUUAAAAAUCUGGAUCAAGCUGAAAAUUGAAACGACACACUGUUUCAUUUCUCCGUAAUAAGAAAUGAAAAAUGGUGUGUUCGAGUCUCUCAAAUUUUUACAAGUCGAUGAUGAAUCGAAAGAAACAUCUUCGG